UACGAAGGGGGCUAGCGUUGUUCGGAUUUACUGGGCGUAAAGCGCAUGUAGGCGGGUCGUUAAGUUGGGGGUGAAAUCCCGAGGCUAAACCUCGGAACUGCCUUCAAAACUGGCGAGCUGGAGCAAGAUAGAGGCAAGUGGAAUUGCGAGUGUAGAGGUGAAAUUCGUAGAUAUUCGCAGGAACACCAGUGGCGAAGGCGACUUGCUGGAUCUUUGCUGACGCUGAGAUGCGAAAGCGUGGGAAGCAAACAGG
rnacentral:rRNA from 1 species